rnacentral:rRNA from 1 species
GACGAACGCUGGCGGCGUGCUUAACACAUGCAAGUCGAACGGACAGACCCUGCUUUUGUGGGGUUCUCGAUUGGCGCACGGGUGAGUAACACGUGAGUAACCUGCCCUUGACUUUGGGAUAACUUCAGGAAACUGGGGCUCAUACCGGAUAGGAGCUCCUGCUGCAUGGUGGUGGAUGGAAAGUUUCGGCGGUUGGGGCUGGACUCGAGGCUUAUCAGCUUGCUGGUGGGGUAGUGGCUUACCAAGGCUUUGACGGGUAGCCGGCCUGAGAGGGGGACCGGCGACAUUGGGACUGAGGUACGGACCAGUAGCCAACGGUAGGCAGCAGUGGGGAACAUUGCACAAUGGGCGGACGCCUGAGGCAGAAGUGCCGGGAGCGGGAUGACGGCUUUCGGGUGGUAAACCGCUUUCGCCUGUGACGAAGCGUGAGUGACGGUAAUGGGUAAAGAAGCACCGGCUAACUACGUG